CCUACGGGAGGCAGCAGUGGGGAAUUUUGGACAAUGGGGGCAACCCUGAUCCAGCCAUUCCGCGUGAGUGAAGAAGGCCUUCGGGUUGUAAAGCUCUUUUGUCGGGGACGAAACGGGAUACGAAUAAUACUCGUGUCAACUGACGGUACCCGAAGAAUAAGCACCGGCUAACUACGUGCCAGCAGCCGCGGUAAUACGUAGGGUGCAAGCGUUAAUCGGAAUUACUGGGCGUAAAGCGUGCGCAGGCGGUUUUAUAAGCCAGAUGUGAAAUCCCCGAGCUCAACUUGGGAACUGCAUUUGGGACUGUAAGGCUAGAGUAUGUCAGAGGGGGGUAGAAUUCCACGUGUAGCAGUGAAAUGCGUAGAGAUGUGGAGGAAUACCGAUGGCGAAGGCAGCCCCCUGGGAUGAUACUGACGCUCAUGCACGAAGGCGUGGGGAGCAAACAGGAUUAGAUACCCUGGUAGUCCACGCCCUAAACGAUGUCAACUGGUUNUUAGGGGAAUUUAUUUCCUUAGUAACGAGCUAAGCGUGAGUUGACCGCUGGGGAUCGGUGCAAGNUUAAACNAANGAUG
rnacentral:rRNA from 1 species